rnacentral:rRNA from 1 species
UACGUAUGGUGCAAGCGUUAUCCGGAUUUACUGGGUGUAAAGGGUGCGUAGGUGGCAAGACAAGUCUGAAGUGAAAAUCCGGGGCUCAACCCCGGAACUGCUUUGGAAACUGUUUAGCUGGAGUACAGGAGAGGUAAGUGGAAUUCCUAGUGUAGCGGUGAAAUGCGUAGAUAUUAGGAGGAACACCAGUGGCGAAGGCGACUUACUGGACUGCUACUGACACUGAGGCACGAAAGCGUGGGGAGCAAACAGG